AGGGAAGAGAGAGAGGAGAGGAGAUGGAGCCUGACAACAUCCAAUAACUCCUGCCAUUCCCUCCCUUAGCUAAGUAAAAUAAAAGGCGUGUUUCCUUAACCAAAAAUGUAUUAAAUAAAAAAAUAUAAAAAAUAUAAAAUCAAACGGUGUCGUUUCCUGAUUUGAAUCACCGUUACUUCCGAUUACUCCUUCCUUUCUUCUUUCCCCACUUUACUGGUACAAUCUGUUCCUCUUGGUCUGUAGAUGAGAUGUGUUCUUCGUCGUCAUCAUGACAGAAAAUUAGUAUCUGAGGGUCCGAGGACGCAAGAUUAAUUUUUGAGCUGGAAAAUGGGAAGAGAGUCCUUUAUGCUGCCACGGGCACGAACGGAAUUUUAUUUACAGCGGCAGAGGACAGAAAUGUGAUGGCACGGGAUAAAGCCAGUGGGAAAAGCGUCAAUGGCAUAUAGCAUUGAAGAUGUUCGGAUGGGCUAAUAAGUUGAAGACGAGUCCAAUGGCGGUGGCUAAUAACAGAUCCAGGCUCACUUUUCUUGCAGAAUCAUCUAUCAAAUGUACGAGGUAAAAGAAAGCAACACGGGAAGCAAGUAGAUGACCUUUUUGUUAAAAGCAGCCACUUUGUCGGAACCUUCUUCAACAAUCGUCUCAAGUUUUGGGGCGUUGGAAGCUCUGUAAGGGGAAAUCAGAGGAGAAGGAGCAACCUCUACCCAAUUGUGCAUGUAACUCAUUUGCUUUCUCAUGACUGUCAAUGAAGGAGAGAGGUUUCUUGAACAGAAUGAUUGAUGAUUCAACAGAACUUUUGUUCAGAGCCAAGAGGAAUUUUGUUGGUAUGAAGAAGAAUUCUUGAAACAGCCUAUGUUUAAACUGGUUCUUGAGCUUAAGAAUAGGAAUAAUUUUAGGAGGAAAUCAAUGGCAAAAUAAAAGGACGA